CUGCAUGGCUGUCGUCAGCUCGUGUCGUGAGAUGUUGGGUUAAGUCCCGCAACGAGCGCAACCCUUAUCCCCAGUUGCCAUCAGGUAAAGCUGGGAACUCUGGGGAGACUGCCGGUGAUAAACCGGAGGAAGGCGGGGAUGACGUCAAGUCCUCAUGGCCCUUACAUCCCGGCUACACACGUGCUACAAUGGCAGGUACAGAGGGCUGCGAAGCCGCGAGGUGGAGCGAAUCCCAGAAAACCUGUCUCAGUCCGGAUUGAAGUCUGCAACUCGACUUCAUGAAGGCGGAAUCGCUAGUAACCGCGAAUCAGCAGGUCGCGGUGAAUACGCUCCCGGGCCUU
rnacentral:rRNA from 1 species